rnacentral:rRNA from 1 species
UUGAACGCUGGCGGCCGGCCUAACACAUGCAAGUCGAGCGGCAGCGCGGGGCAACCUGGCGGCGAGCGGCGGACGGGUGAGUAACGCGUAGGAAUCUACCCAGUAGCGGGGGAUAGCCCGGGGAAACUCGGAUUAAUACCGCAUACGCCCUAAGGGGGACAGCAGGGGAUCGUAAGACCUUGCACUAGUGGAAGAGCCUGCGUUGGAUUAGCUAGUUGGUAGGGUAAAGGCCUACCAAGGCGACGAUCGAUAACUGGUCUGAGAGGAUGAUCAGUCACACCGGAACUGAGACACGGUCCGGACUCCUACGGGAGGCAGCAGUGGGGAAUAUUGGACAGUGGGGGCAACCCUGAUCCAGCCAUCCCGCGUGCAGGAUGAAGGCCCUCGGGUUGUAAACUGCUUUUGUACAGAACGAAAAGGUUUCUACUAAUACUAGGAGCUCAUGACGGUACUGUAAGAAUAAGCACCGGCUAACUACGUGCCAGCCGCCGCCGUAA